GGAGAGGUGACCGAGUGGUUGAUGGUGCCGCUCUCGAAAAGCGGUGGGCAGCAAUUGCCUCGUGGGUUCGAAUCCCACCCUCUCCG
rnacentral:tRNA from 1 species